UACGGAGGGAGCUAGCGUUGUUCGGAAUUACUGGGCGUAAAGCGCGCGUAGGCGGCUUUGUAAGUUAGAGGUGAAAGCCCGGGGCUCAACCCCGGAACUGCCUUUAAGACUGCAUCGCUUGAAUCCGGGAGAGGUGAGUGGAAUUCCGAGUGUAGAGGUGAAAUUCGUAGAUAUUCGGAAGAACACCAGUGGGCGAAAGGCGGCUCACUGGACCGGUAUUGACGCUGAGGUGCGAAAGCGUGGGGAGCAAACAGG
rnacentral:rRNA from 1 species